AUUGAACGCUGGCGGCAGGCCUAACACAUGCAAGUCGAGCGAGCGGCGGACGGGUGAGUAAUGUAUGGGGAACUGCCUGAUAGAGGGGGAUAACUACUGGAAACGGUGGCUACUACCGCAUACUAUCGGAUGUACCCAUAUGGGAUUAGCUAGUAGGUUGGGUAAUGGCUCACCUAGGCGACGAUCCCUAGCUGGUCGGAGAGGAUGAACAGCCACACGGGGACUGAGACACGGCCCAGACUCCUACGGGAGGCAGCAGUGGGGAAUAGUGCACAAUGGGCUCAAGCCUGAUGCAGCCAUGCCGCGUGUGUGAAGAAGGCCUUAGGGUUGUAAAGUACUUUCAGCGGGGAGGCGUUACUCGCAGAAGAAGCACCGGCUAACUCCGUGCCAGCAGCCGCGGUAAUAC
rnacentral:rRNA from 1 species